AGCGAACGCUGGCGGCAGGCCUAACACAUGCAAGUCGAACGAACCUUUCGGGGUUUGUGGCGGACGGUUGAGUAACACGUGGGAACUUGCAUUUAGGUUCGGUAUAACUCAGGGAAACUUGUGCUAAUAACGAAUGUGCUCUUCGGGGGUAAGAUUUAUCGCCUUUAGAUCGGCCCGCGUCUGAUUAGCUAGUUGGUUGAGGUAAUGGCUCACCAAGGCGACGAUCAGUAGCUGGUCGGAGAGGAUGAUCAGCCACAUUGGGACUGAGGCACGGCCCAAACUCCUACGGGAGGCAGCAGAAGAGAAUCUUGCGCAAGGAGCGAAAGCCUGACGCAGCCAUGCUGCGUGAAUGAUGAAGGUCUUAGGAUAGGAAAAUUCUUUCACCAGGGGCGAUAAUGACGGUACCCGGAGAAGAAGCCCCGGCUAACUUCGUG
rnacentral:rRNA from 1 species